rnacentral:tRNA from 1 species
GCCCUGGUGGCAAAGUGGUUAAAGCACUCAACUGCUAAUUGAGAGGUUGCUGGUUCAAACCCACAGGUCG